ACGCGAAGAACAGAACCUUACCGGGUCUUGUACACACCGGAAAACCGUAGAGAUACGGUCCCCCUUGUGGUCGGUGUACAGGUGGUGCAUGGCUGUCGUCAGCUCGUGUCGUGAGAUGUUGGGUUAAGUCCCGCAACGAGCGCAACCCUUGUCUUAUGUUGCCAGCACGUAAUGGUGGGGACUCGUAAGAGACUGCCGGGGUCAACUCGGAGGAAGGUGGGGACGACGUCAAGUCAUCAUGCCCCUUAUGUCCAGGGCUUCACACAUGCUACAAUGGCCAGUACAGAGGGCUGCGAGACCGUGAGGUGGAGCGAAUCCCUUAAAGCUGGUCUCAGUUCGGAUCGGGGUCUGCAACUCGACCCCGUGAAGUCGGAGUCGCUAGUAAUCGCAGAUCAGCAACGCUGCGGUGAAUACGUUCCCGGGUCUUGUACACACCGAAUCUCUGAAGAUCCGCGCGACC
rnacentral:rRNA from 1 species